rnacentral:rRNA from 1 species
AGUGAACGCUGGCGGUAGGCCUAACACAUGCAAGUCGAACGGCAGCACAGCAAGAGCUUGCUCUUACGGGUGGCGAGUGGCGGACGGGUGAGGAAUACAUCGGAAUCUACUUUUUCGUGGGGGAUAACGUAGGGAAACUUACGCUAAUACCGCAUACGACCUACGGGUGAAAGCAGGGGAUCUUCGGACCUUGCGCGAUUGAAUGAGCCGAUGUCGGAUUAGAUAGUUGGCGGGGUAAAGGCCCACCAAGGCGACGAUCCGUAGCUGGUCUGAGAGGAUGAUCAGCGACACUGGAACUAGGACACGGUCAAGACUCCUACGGGAGGCAGCAGUGGGGAACUUUGGGCAAUGGGCGAAAGCCUGAUCCAGCCAGACCGCGUGGGGGAAGAAGGCCUUCGGGUUGUAAAGCCCUUUUGUUGGGAAAAAAAAGCAGCAGGUUAAUACCCCGCUGUUCUGACGGUACCCAAAAAAUAAGCACCGGCUAACUUCGUG